CAAAACGCAGCACUGAGGCAUGGACCAAAGUGCAAACACGCGCAAAAUAUCGGGCCAAAUUUAAAAAAAAACGAAGUACAAAUAUGAGCUGAUUAAAAUGCGGCGCAAAAAGGGAAGGGCCUACUGCGCAAAUAGUCCAUUUUAAGCGCAAAGGCGCGAACUCGGGCCUUGGAAUGGGUCGACGCGUGGACCCUUUUCCCCCCAGAACGGCGCCUUUUCGUUGUUAUCAAAACUAGAAAAAAGAAUGGUAAUCAGCUAUUCACUUUAGUAAUUGAAUCAAAACCCUAAUCCAUUUUCCCCUUUCUUUUUCAAACCCUAAAUCCUCCUUUUAAUGGCCGAUUCAUCCCCACCAAAUGGUGUUCUUCAAGCCUGGAGGAAUUUCAGCCUCGAAAACUCCUCUUGACUUCGAUUUCAAUGAAGCAAAAAGAAGUCUACGGCGCGUUUGCAAGGUAAGAGUUACUUCUUUCCCUUGUUAUCUCUUUCUUUUUAAAAAAAUGCGACAACGAUGUAUUCAGAAAGCGAAUUGAAAAGAAAAACUUAGAAAACACCCAAAUCAGAAAUCACCUGCAAUUUCGGUGGCUUUUCUCUCUAUUUCAAUAUGCGUAUUUCGAAAAAAAAGGAACCCUUACAAUCGAAAAUCAAAAGGGCUUUAUAGCCGAAUAAUCAAAGGAAAAAAAUAAAAAAUAAAAUAAAAUAAAAUAAAAUACAAUUUUCUUCUUUGUUCGUAUUUGUUGCUGUGUUUGUCUCGUUUGUUUGCAGGUACGGAGUAUGGGGCAUGCGCUGGCCCUUCGCGUGAGGCGUACGGAGGCGCGGACGUAGUGUGGCUACUAAAACGCUGCAGCAUACGGAGGCGCUAGAGGCUAGCUGCGGCGCAAGCAGAGGCUAGGGUUCUGCCUUGGUUUUGGCUUUUGGGCCUGUUCUUGUAGUUGGGGUAUCGUGUUUGGGCUUCUGGGCUCAUUGGGCUUGGUGUAUUAGUUGGGACAUUUAAUGGACCGUUAAUAUUUGAUGUUUUGUUUAUUUAUUAUUUUUAUUUUGGAUUUUGGUUCUGACGUGGGCCCGGGCAAAUUGGCCCGUUUACAACGAUAAUUGCUUACCUUAUCCUGACUCGUUCCAUUAUAUAAAAUUAUCAUUGUAUAUAUAAAUUAUUAAAAUGGUAAAAAUAUAAAAUAUAAAAAAAUCAAAUAUUUUAUGUUUAAAUAUUUUUUGAAGAAUUAUGUUUUGAAUAUUGACUUUACUUUAAAAGGAUUGAAAAUAUUAAAGAUAGUUGAAAAAUUAAUUUGAAGGCAAGCAGAAAAACAAAAUAGGGCGGAGAUGGAUGCUUCCACAUUAAUGAAGGUCGACUCGUAUUGGUUUUUAAAAUUGUACAUCUACAAUGGAGCGGGAUGAGUGGUAAAACGGAACGUGCCAAUUAUGGAGUGAUAAUAAAUUUAACAAUAUCCAACCCAUCAUACUCUAUUGCCAUCCCUAGCAGUAGUAGACUUCAUUCUCAAGCAUUUGGAUUGAAUUCAAAUCCUAAAAUCCUCAUUAUUGUGAGAGUUUAUCUAAAUAUUACCCUAAAACUCAUUUCAAAUCCUAAAAUUGUUAUUGUUUGAAAGUAACAUCUAAAAAAACACUUUAAUUUUGUAUCACAAGUACUAACUCAAUUAAAAAAUAAAUAAAAAUAUCCUUAUUUUUCAAAAUUAAUUAUAUGAUUAUUCAACUAAAACUUCAUUUAUUAUUUAUAUUUAUUUUUUACAAAUAAUUUUAUUUUUUCUCGUAUGCUAUGAUAUAGUUAUUAUUAUUAGGCUGUAUUGAUUAUAAUUUUUCGACAAUCCUAUAAAUAAAACUAUGUAUUUAUUCUAAAAAAAUCAAUGUGGCGUUAGUCAAAGAAAAAAACCGCUUGCACUACCCCUGAUGCCAACCCUAUUUUUCCCUUGUUUUGUACAGAAACAAGCGAAUUUUCUUUUUUUUGUUUUAAAAAAAUUGAAAAGUAAAACCGUAGAAGAGACUGGUCAAUCCAAUUCUCUGGCUCUCUUUCUCUCUCUUCAGAGAGUUUUUCUUUGAAUGUCUCCGAUCUCUUUUUUUUCUAUCAGUUGAAGGCAUAAAUAAAUACAAAUCUUCAGAAGUUUUCUCAAUUUUCAGAUCUAAAUCAUAGAAGUACUUUUUCGUUUCCCCGUAAUUUAUCCGAAGAGAGAUAAAGAGAAAACAGGUAGAGAAAUCGAGAAAAAAAUGAUCACAAUUCCGUAUUUGACCGCUCUAACCACGUAUUUCAGCUAUGGCCUUCUCUUCGCGUUUGGCCAAUUCCGUGAUUUCUUCAGGAAAAUCUUCGAUUGGUGGCACGCCAGCAAUCUUGAGGUUCUUCUCCCGCUUCUUUUCUCUUUUUUUUUUUUAAAUCGUUUUCUUAAUAGAAUCCCCAUUAUUAGAUUAGAUGCUCCUUCAAAAAAUGCGUGGAUAAAAAAUGAAGUUGCGUGACGAUUUUUUUGUUUAUUUAAAUUCUGUAGGGAUAUGCGCCGAUCUGUUUAGGACUUGAAGAUUUCUAUACUCGGCGCUUGUAUCUUCGUAUUCAGGUAUUUCCUUUCUUUUCUUGAAAUCGUUCGAGAAAAUCAAUGUUAUUAUCAAAAUUUGGUUACUGAUCUUAGUUUAUUGUUCUAUUCUUGUUCUUGUUCGUAUUUUAUCGUUGAAAACUAAGUUAGCUCAAUUUUGAUCUUAAACAGUCUGUUUGCAACUUAGCUGAUUUUCAGUCGCAUGAUUGUGCUGUUAACAUGUCUUACAUUUCACCUCCGUAGGAUUGUUUCGGAAGACCGAUAGCGAGUGCUCCAGAUGGUUGGUUUGAUGUAGUGGAGCGCUACUCCAAUGACAAUAAUAAAACAUUGAAGUGAGGCUUCUGAUGUGCUUUCACUUUUCAAUCCUAUUUGAAGCUCCCUUUAACUUAUUCUACAGCCAUUUGUUGUAUAACUUUGUUUUAUUACCGCAUUUGUACAAUACACAGAAGAUAUGAAAUCUAAAAUUUGUUCUUCUUAGGUGAAUGAUUGGGAUAAAUAGCUUGAUUGCUAAAUAUCUAUGUCACAAGCUUAUGCUGACUAUUGUGCUGUUGCUUACAGGCGAACUGACAAGAUAAGCAGGUGUCUUAACUUGGGAUCAUACAAUUAUCUUGGCUUCGCAGCAGCCGAUGAAUAUUGCACGCCCCGUGUAAUUGAUUCAUUAUGUAGAUUUUCGGCAAGCACUUGUAGUACUCGUGUUGAAGGAGGUAUACAUUUUUAAUUUUGUGCUGUAGUCUGUUUGGUCGCACACCCAGUUAUCUGAAAUCUUUGACUUUCCUUUUUCGUACCAGGAACUACAACACUGCAUAAAGAACUGGAGGAAUGUGUUGCGAAUUUUGUUGGGAAGCCUGCUGCUGUAGUCUUCGGCAUGGGCUAUGUGACAAACUCUGCUAUUCUUCCUGUCAUAAUUGGAAAGGUAUAAACACAAUGUUAGCUUGAGUGUACACUUGAAAAUUUCAUAUAUAAACUUCCUUCUGGUCGUUUCUCUCUGAUUAUUGUCAUUAUUAUUUUUCUUUGCAUAUACCCACAGGGAGGAUUAAUUAUUAGUGAUUCAUUAAACCACAACUCUAUUGUCAAUGGUGCUCGAGGCUCAGGAGCUACUAUCCGAGUUUUUCAACAUAAUAGUAAGUUGUAUGUGGUAUUUGAAACUUAAUAAAUUUAUUGAUGUAUAAUUAUACUGAUAUAAGUAAAUUACUCUUUCUAUUUAGCUCCUUCUCAUUUGGAAAAAGUUCUGAGAGAACAAAUUGCUGACGGACAGCCCAGGACACAUAGGCCAUGGAAGAAGAUAAUUGUUGUCGUGGAGGGUAUUUAUAGUAUGGAAGGCGAACUUUGUAAGCUUCCUGAGAUUGUUGCCAUAUGCAAGAAGUACAAGGUAAUGCCAGUUGAUAUAACGAUCAUUUUUUUUAUGAUUAUACUUUAAGCUUGUCCUAGUUUCCUUUUCUUCACUCAAUUAAAGAUCAAUUAAUAAAUGGAAAAGAAAAAAAAAUGAAAUAAUUUAGAGCUGUUAGACACUAAACAAGGUUGAGUUACCUUCACCUGGAAACAGCUAAUUCUACAUAUAUCUUGUUUUAUAAUGAUUUCCUACAAUUACAUAGACUUGUCCGACUACUUUUGUAAUGCGUUUUCUUACAUCAUUUUUGUUUCUAGACCUAAAUCUUGUGUGCUAAUCUCCCCUUUGUUUCAGGCUUAUGUUUAUUUGGAUGAGGCUCACAGCAUUGGGGCUGUGGGAAAAACUGGAAGAGGCGUAUGUGAACUCUUAGGAGUGGACACUGCUGAUGUGGAUAUCAUGAUGGGAACUUUUACAAAAUCUUUUGGGUCUUGUGGUGGUUAUAUUGCUGGGUCCAAGGUUUGUUGCUUUGCUAAUUGCUAGCGUCUCUGGAUCUUUUAAAAGUCACCUCGGAUAGUUGUCAUUUUUGUUAUGUUCCAUUAAUUGUCAAGCUCAAUUUGGAUGGUCGCAUGAAUUGGUCCUACAAAUCUCAUCAAUAAUACGUUCCCAUGUCGAUUCAGGAACUUAUACAAUAUCUUAAGUACACAUGUCCUGCUCAUCUAUAUGCAACAUCAAUAUCACCUCCAGCUGCACAGCAAAUUAUAUCUUCAAUAAAGGUUAUUCUUGGAGAGGAUGGUUCUAGCAGAGGUAGGAUAUCACAUUUUCUCUCUCUAAGACUAUUUAACUUCUGUUGUGCUUUUCACAUUUGGAUCAUCAUUUCUUUUUGUGAUGACUUGAGGAGGCUUUUUUGUAUUAAUUUAGGCGCUCAAAAACUUGCAAGGAUACGUGAGAAUAGCAACUUUUUCAGGUCAGAACUACAAAAAAUGGGUUUUGAGGUCCUUGGAGACAAUGAUUCCCCUGUAAUGCCUAUAAUGCUUUACAAUCCAGCAAAAAUCCCUGCAUUUUCUCGAGAGUGCCUCAAACAAAAUGUGAGCUGCAUCCAAUUUGAGCUGUACAUGAAAUUGCAUCGUAAUAUCUGCCAUUAAUUAUUGCUAUGUUCACAGCGCAUGCAUCACUCUGUACAAGGUGUUCUGACCAGUUAUUGAAAAUGUCCUGCUGUCACAGGUUGCUGUUGUUACAGUUGCUUUCCCUGCCACCCCACUACUUUUAGCCAGGGCACGUAUUUGCAUUUCUGCCUCGCACACCAAGGAAGACCUUCUUAAAGCGCUAGAGGUAAUUACGCAAUCUGCUUCCUUCGUCCCUGACUGUAUAUCGGAGAUCUUAAAUAGAGUGCAGUAUGUAAGGGUUUCAAAGUGUUAUCUGAUAUUGUUAAUGAUAAUAUCUUUCAUGGCAGGUUAUUAGUCAGGUUGGUGAUAUGGUGGGCAUAAAAUACUUUCCUGCAGAGCCUAAUAAGCAGCAGCAGGACCAGCAACAGCAGCAGCCGGGGAAAGACACAAUCAAGUUGGACUGAAGGGUUUUUGAAACAGGCUGACGUUGAAUUGCUUGCUUUGCUUCUAGCAGGUACCGUAAAAUUGAUGUUUGAAUAGGAAUUCUUCGUUAGCCGCAAUGUUUGAUUGUUGUAAUCUCUCUGAAAAUCAGGGGGAAGUUUGUUUGUAGAACCAAAUAGCCUGGGCAUUCUAAGAUUUUCUUACGUGUUUGUAGCAUUACUUAUCACUGCGUGUUUUGGACAUGAUCUUCUUUGGAUUUUUAUUCAAUUAAUGUAUAGGGGUACUAAUUUUGAUUUAAUUCAAUUGGACUUUUUGGGUCAACCAAUAGGCUACUGAUACAUUGUCGUGGAGUUUAGAAACUCGAGCAGAUAUAUCGAGCUGGUACAUAUUUCUGUGAUUAGGAGUAUAAUCGAAUCAAGUUUGAGUUGCUACUGUUUGAUUCAAAAUCCUAGGUUUAAAUGUCUGACUUGCAUCCAAUCCAGUUUUAUUUUUAAAGCUCAACUUUUGUUAAGGACAAUAUCGCAUUUCUUCAAGUUUGGUUUGACUUGAUUAUUUAGUGGAAAAAGAAAACUUAAAUGGCAUUUGGUACUUUUUCAUCUCCAGAUUCUAUGGUAAUGUUAUCAUUAAUAAAGUAAUAUCAGUAUAUAUGAGACUGUUUUAAUUAAAAUCUGUGAAGACUUAUAUAGAUAUGUUUAGUUUAUUGUACAGUUGAGGACUAAGAAUUAAAAAAAUAAUAAUACAAUUUUUACUAAUUUUAACAUUUUAAAUAAAAUUUAUUAUUAACAAAAAGGUAGUUGAUUAUUAUCAAACCUGAUUCAAUAUAUGUUUAGUAAUAUUAAUUUAUUCAUUCUUAAUAAAAAUAAACCAAAACAUUAUUUCAAAAUUAAUAUUUGAUUAAAUUUUAAAAUUUUACAUGAAGUUCAAACUUUCCAACUAAAUAAGAGGAAAAAUAAUUUUCCUUCCUGAAUAAAAAUUACAUUCUCAAAAUGUAUCCCAUUAAUUAAAUUUCUAAGAAAGUAAAAUGAUAUAUCACAAAAUGCACUCUUAAUCUUAAGAAAAAAAAAAAAAGGUUCAUGAACCUACCCAAGUCUAGCAUAUCAACUUCUCAAUGAGAAACCAGAAUUGGAGUACAGAACCAUACCUGUAAGUGACAAAUAUUAAAAGGGUUAACAAAAUAAUACUAGUCAACUUUUUAAUCCUCUAAAUAAGUCAUUUGCAACUACUCAAAACGGAAUGGUUUUAAUGGACAGCUCAGUUAUAACAUAUGACAAUGUGCAAAUGGUGGAUAUUGACUAAAAUGCACCAAAGGUGAGAUCACAAUUUUAGGGGAAAAACUGCUUCAUCAUAUAAAUCUUAACAUCUGCCUGAGAAAGAUUUUAGAUCCCAGUAACAUAUUCACAGCAAAUUUCAUUGCCCGCACAAGCAAGCAUGCGAGUAAGGAACUUGGGGAAUUCAGAUGAUGCUUACCUCCCUCAUUUCAGCUUCGAUUUUAACACUGUUCUCACCAAGACAGAUUUGAAGGCAAUUUCCUUUCUGCAUAUAAAUCCUUGUUCAUACAUGUUUCUUGACAUAUGCUACAAAAAUGCCAACUCUAUUCUUCCCAAGAAGAUAUAAACGAUAUACAACAAAUUCAUGCGUAUGCUCAAACAAAGAUCGACUAGAACUGGCUUUGCUUUAAAUGAAGGUGAAAUUAUGAGCAAUGCAUUCAACAGUUCCCACAGCAGGACCAGCUAGGUCAGACUGGCAAACAAAUCGGCACAGAACUUGACAGAGAAAAAAGAGUAAGCCCGUGAAUACUUCACACAACUACACAUAUUAAACUGACAAAGAGGAUAGAAGCUCAAGAAAACAAACUUGGAUUUCCUUAAAGACCACAUAGAUUAAGCUUUUAAUGGUUGCUCCUCUCUUCAGUAAUGCCUAUCAUCAAUUCAUUAAUUCAAGAAAAAACAAAAAUACAACUAUGGCAGCAGUGGGAAGUGUAUUCUUUUUGUUUGCUUGUUUUUUCUUCACUGAACCAAGAUGUUUACAGACCAGAAUGUACUCACAAAAGCAUAAAUUACUUUCUUAAUUAAUCUAAGGGAAUGCAAAACAUAUCACUGUUUCACAAGCACAUUUUUUUACCAAGGUGUGCUAGGGAAAGAAAUAAGUUAGUUAAAUUAGAAACAGAUAUCCAUGCCAUAGAAUUUUAGGCUAUAGAAAGUUAUGAUACCUUAUGGAACUUUAGGCUAUAUAAAGUUGCGAUCUUAUGCAUAAUCAAUACGAGAUAGCGUAUGAUAAAGCCUAACCCAAUGAGAAUUAUGGCCGAAGUAGAUUGAAAUCACUUUUGUCAAUCACUUUCCUUUAAACAAAAGAAAAGCUGAUAUUAUCUCAUUGUUUUCCAUUAAAGUUCUCAACAAUAGUUAGCACAAUACAGUGCAAAAAUUUGCAACACUAACAAAAAAAAAACCUACAGAUUCUCCUACUUUUCACUACAAAAAGAGGGUAAAAGAUAUAAAAAAAGCUAAUAAGGCUCAAAGUCUUACAUCUCCAUGGCUGAUAAAAAUAAUGCUUUCAGAAACCCAAUAACCAUAACUCAAAAAAGUCAGGAAAAGCCUUUGCCAAGCUUCUGGAUUGCACAAAACAUUUUCCUUCGAGAACCAACUGCAUUUAUUCCCAUAUCCUUCAAAUCCUCUAAUGUCAACAAUGGCAAAAUCUCAUCGUCCACUUCAUGGAUUUUGAAAACCGGGGCAUACCUUCCUAACCCCAAACUAUUCAACCAUAUUCUAACCCCAUCUUCCUCACACCGUCUCAUUUCGGUAUCUGAUGGCCCAGAUAACUCCACCCCAUCAGAAACCCGAGUCCGAAUUGGCCUCCUGUGAUUACUCCCAUGAUAAAGAACUUCCCUUUCAUUGCCAUCCACCAGCAAAUUAUCCAAAGAAUGUAUCGGACUGUGGUCUUUCAUGGGACUUUCCGAGUUCUCCAACUCGAAAUCAUAGUUAUCUUCGCCGCCACUGUAUUUUUCCUCGGUUUCCACAUUAUUGCUGUUAGUGUUGUUGUUGUUGCCGUUGAUAUUGACGUUUCCGCCGCUGGAAUCGUCGAAUUUAGGAACCCAAUUGGAUCGAACCCGUUUCGUAGCGGGGCCCCGUUUCUUGAGAUCCUUGACUCUCCAACUACUAAUCGCGACAGCGUCCAAAUUGGUGUUAUUGUUAGGUUCUCUUUCGUUAUCGACGGUUUCGUUGUUGGCGUUGAAGUCGGUGCUGAGGUUGGUUAGGGCGCGAGUCUUGGACGAUUUAGCAGUCGCAGUGGCGACUGAGGGAGUUAAGGAGAGAUGGGGUUGGUGUUUCCACUGCUUGGAAGCGGCGGCGGAGGAAGAGGAGGAGGAGCGUCGGAAAUGAGAAUCGUAAGGUUGGUCCCCGCCGAUGUCGCCUAAGCGAACGCUGGGACGUCUCUGGCGUUUGGAUCCAACGGUCUCGGAUGAAGCAACCGCGAGGGGCGCCGCGACGCCGUUUAGAGGGGCAUCCGAUGGCUGUAUAUCCACCAUGUUUAUUCUCUCCACCGAAUUGGUAAUGGGAGGAGAGAGAAAGUGAAACAAAUGAAGUGAAGAGAAAGACUGGGAAAUUGUGACCUAGGAUUUCUGACACGUUUCACUCUUUUCCUACUCAAAGGGAAACAAAGUUGAAUGAUGCUUGAACUGGAAUUAAUCCGCAAAUUUUCAUUCAUGUCGGGACAUCACUAUUACAUAUUACGUAUGUUCACUUCUUCUUUGUAAUGUCAAAAUGUUUCAGUUUUUGCUAUAAAAUCACAUAAUAAUUCAAAAACAUUUCGCAUAAGUAAUUUAAUUUUAUAUCUUACAUAUGUAUGCUUGACUGGAGAGGGAGAACCCGAUUAAAAUAAAAAUAACAUCUUUGUGACAAGUAAACCAUUGACUAAAACCAACCAAAAGAGUAAUAUAUCUAGAAAUCAACCGACUUUCCCCACACGAGAUUUCAACAAAUUUCUUGGAAAAAAAAAGGUCAUUUGAUGCAAAGAAACAAUGAUUUAGAAUGUUCUUUGCAAUUUCAAACCCUUUAAUGGCUAGAAAUAGAAAUGAAAUUUCUUUUGUUUACAUUCUCACUAAGAAGUUUCCGAGUUCCAAAUGAAUGUUCACACUUCUGCUUCUUUUGAUUUUCAUGGAACACCAUGAAUGAUUUAGGUCCCAACCGUUAGUCUUAGGAAUUAUGUAGCCAGCUUCCAAAAUCCAAUAAGAUCUCAUGAAUACAGGUUAGACUCUAUUAGCACUGAAAAGUACAAACGAAUGCGGACACCAAGUUUCGUAAACUUGACCUCCUAAUCUAUGCUUUGCUUUUUGAAUAAAGGGAACUUAAAAGGUUGUGCAGCCUGAAUAUUCACUCCCUAAAAGAAUCUUUUAAAUCAGUAUGCUUGUUGUAGACGCUUGAAGUGUAGACAGUAUUGCCCUCCGAUUUUUUCAUCCUUUAAUUUCUGUGUGAACUAUGUCAAGCAAUAAUUUCACAGAUUUUGCCAAUUACCUCCAGGUGAGGUCGGUCAAGUGAGGUUUAGCUUGGAUUCAAUCAGCGGGAACCGUGCAAAGCUGACAAUGUCCAGGAUUAUGCUCCAAUGGAUACAUUGUUGUGCCUUUCACAAAUUUUUGGUGGUCAACAGCAGCCUUUCUGAGACUAGAGAUCGACAUAUGUUUCCUUUUAACUUGCUUCUUCAAUAUCGAGCAAGAACUAAGCAGGUCUUCAGAUCCAGCUCCAACCCUCCUACAGAAUUUAUUAAAGAUUUUUACACUGGAACUUGCUUCUUUAACUUGCAUUUAUUUCAUUUUCAGGAACACAACCUUAAGCUGGAAUACUUAGUUGCCAACUUGUCAUUAUAUCAAAAUUAAUCUAAUCACACUGUGCUAAUCACUCUCUUAACAUUAAACGCCAUAAAAGACUCUUGAGAAACAAUAUGCAAAUGCAGACAGGAGUUAACAUUUUUACACUCUGUUAGUGUAUUUUGUGUAGCUUCUAUGCAGUUUCUCUAAUCUCAAAAAACACUGAUGAGUCAAAUAGGUGCUUUUAGAGAUGAACAUCGAGGUUUUGCAAAAGCUGAAAAAUGAGAUUUCAGAAGCUUCCAUGAUAAAAACUGAUUUCAGUAGCAAAUGACCCAUAACAGGAGCAAUGAUAUCUUUGUUCUAUAGUAGCUUAAGGUUAGUAGUAUAUUCUCAAACAUUUGUUUAGCGGUUAGAUCCAUUAUCAUCACAAGCAAGUCCCCAAAACCAUGAGCAAAUCAUGUGUCGUACAACAUAGCCUCUGAAUUAUCACCCAUUAUUAAUUACUGUAAACGGAAGCAAAGAAAAUAGUACCUCAACAAUUUCUCUGAUGCAAUUCUAGCAGCUCUAAUAGCAGUUUGACUUGGCACCCACUUCACAGCUCGGUUUGGAUCCGACCGCAUAGGAGAAUGGAUUUUGAUUAGCUUAAAAAGAUCAGAUAAAAGUUUGUCAAAGAAAUUGAUAUCUCAAGACUAAUUGUGAAAGGAUUGUAGGUACAUCGGAAAAAAAAAAAGAAGAAGAGAAUUUGUGCCUCUUCCUACUAAUAGUCAUACAAAAGAGAACUUCUCUUAUUAUUAACUCAAAAGACCAAAUCCACAUAAAGAUUUCAAUGUGAGAGAGGGAGAGAGAGCAUACACCCAAACACUCCAUCAUCUGGUAAUAAGCCCUGCCAUGCAAAGGUGUGUGGCCUUUCCGAGAUUCUGAGAAAUAUCUAGUCCUGGGAGAGCAUCAAAAUUUUUUUUCCGGUCACAUAAACAUAAUUAAAUUGUUAACUUGCGAAGAAAAUAGUUAAAAGGAAGAGUACCAUUCUUUAUAACCCGGAUCCACAGUGAAACCAUACAUAUCCACUGAAUCACAUAUAGAGAGAGCAAAUUCAAGAGCCUUAAGCCCUGUCCCUUUUGCAGCUGAACCAAAGGAUGCACCUAGCAUGAGAUAUACAGGAUUUCUUAUUGGAAUGUCCUGCAUAAAAAGAAAAAAACAAGUCCUUUUAAGUUUAUUUCAGAAGGAGGAAACCAUGGCAACAAAGAUAAAAGACAUCCCCCAAAAUUCCAUCUGUCAGUUUUAAGCCAUUAAUACUUUCAAUAACAGUCAUGCACAUGUUUCAAAUAUAAUGGAUGUGGUUAAGCAGUCAAUUUUUCAUAACAAACUUCACAAGUUUUAGCAGGAACAACAAGAUAUUCUUUUGUAUCAUUUUGAAAACAAAAAUGAUAGGCAACAUGCCCAUAGCCCUAGGGAACAACUAUUUCUGAGCCAUUAAUGAAGUUAAAUCACAGGUCGAUAGACAUAUAUUAAGAGAAAUAUCAUAAUUAAAGAAAGAAACUAGAUGGAAUAUACUAACCCGAAUCAUCUGGUUCAUAAUGUCAUGAAUUGUAGUUUUGACUAUCAAGACCUCCUGCCUUGUUUCUAUAAAAUUCAAAAACUUAGCAUGCUUUCAGAAUUAUGGAAGCAUAAAAACUAAAGAACAGCAACAAUGUCAAUACCAUCUAACUCUACAACUUUAUCAAGAGCUUUGGCAGAUCCUCUGUUAAGAAGCCGAAAUGAACUUUUCUUGCCCACAUAUUCUGUAUAGUUCUGCAAUUGAACAUUUCAACAUAUGAAAAAAUUGUGAGAGAAAUUAAUUAGGAAAAAGUGAAAGCUUUAUGACUGCAGCUCAACCUCAAUAGGGGCACCAUUCUCUCUGAUGACAACAUCAUAGCUAUCUAUCUCUUUCCCGAACCUCGUUUUGAGAAGAUCCCCAGAGUUGCCUAUAACAGCACACCGGCCAAACUGCCUUGGAACAUAAGGGGGUGUUUCAGGGAGGACAAGUGAAAGCUUUUCCAUGCACAAAGUUCUAUUCUUACAGUUGUUCCUAUAAUACAGAAAGAAACUCCAUAAAACUUUGCGCAGCUACAUUGUAUCUAAGUGACACGGCCUAAUAAUCCAGCAUAUGAAAUAUAUCCUUUUUAGACAAGAUAUCAAAAUAAUCAGUAUUUUCAAAAAAUUCCUUCCUUAACCUUAUUUAUGUUAUAAAUGCAUACACUAAAUAAAAGCAACUAUUUCAAAUGCUACAUUCACAAAAACCAAUACUCACAGAAGCACUCCUUUAUUAAUCCUCCGCCAUGCGUACUCCUCCCAACCAUUUGGUAAAGCAUCAAUGAACUCCCUAGUGAGUAUUGUAGUACUAUUCCUCACCUGACCAACAA
rnacentral:lncRNA from 1 species